rnacentral:lncRNA from 1 species
CAACGCUAGGAAACCAAACCCAUGAAACUCUCUCCAACUUACGCUACCUCGAGUUUGGGUGAAUUCUUCUUUGUUCAAGGCCCCUCAAAUUUGCCAAGGUUCCUGGCCAGCUGAGAAGUGACCUUGCUACCACCUGUGAGGCUGGGAUCCUGACAGCCAUAGAAAAAGACCAAGCCAGUUUUCCUGGAUCAGCUUGGUGGGCAUUGAUUCCACCUAGAAAGUACAACCUUGUUCCUUCAUGAGGAUCGAUUUACACCUGACUACCCAAGAACGAAUCUCGGGGUCUGCUCUUGGGACGGCAAAGUCAAGAGUAUCCGAGUGUCCUCUUCUCUGCAGUGACCAGAAGAAACCAUCAGUGGCCAGAGAGUGCUGCUAAAAAGAGAUUUCAGUGAAAAAGGGCAAUUCCUCAGGCUGGCUCUGACUCAACCCCAGCUGGGAAUAGGGAAGAUUCUUAG